rnacentral:lncRNA from 1 species
GAAAAUGGGGCUGUCUAGAUACAAUAAUGUGAAGAAAUGCUUACUUAUUUGUGUUACUAUAAUGGCAUUCUUCUUGAAAUUUUUGUACAUGUUUAAACACUAAAACAAUGUUUAUAACUUUGUAUAUUGCUAUGUGACAAUCUAAAAUGCAUAUAGGGGUUAUUGUAGAGAAACUUGCCUGAAAAAACAUGGCAAAAUUUUAACAUUACUGUAUAAAGAGAUGAGAAAUUAAGGGACUGCUGCUACUUUCCCACAUUUGUAAUUUUAAAGGUGUUUCAAAAGCAACGUUUAAACAACGAAGGGAAUUCUAGAGAUAUAAUUGAUUUGUGCCUGUCCUGAUUGUUGCCUAUUGACAUCUUGGGAAUGUUGGGCUGUUGUAUCCAACUUUGUAUCCUCAGUGGCUGUAAUGAAUAGUUUUGAGUGAUCAUGAAGAACCUGUGACAUAGACUAGUGCAGCAGAGUUACCCAGCGAAAUAAAGACUGUUGGGUUACCGAAGGAAAGAAGAAGAAAGAAGACAGGAUUUGAGGUGAACAUGGUAAAAAAUGACACACUUGCAUAUAACCUGAGGAUAGCUGGCAUCAGGAACAUCCUUAUGCAACUAUGCCUAUGGAGUUCUUAUUCUUAUGCAAACAUGCCUAUGGAGUUCUUUCAUUUAUAAAUUUCAAAUUUAAACCACAGGAGAUGACAGUUACAAGAAAACAUACUUUUGCCACUUUUGUUUUUAAAUCUCAGUAAUUGGUACCACCAGACCUGUUGCAGUAUUCUCAUUCCAAGUGUUCUUCACUCCCAUCUUUGGACCCUGGAGAAGCCCUUGGCCAUCAUAAUCUGUGUCCUUUAGGUGAUGAUUGAUUAGGAUACUGAUCACUUCUGCAACCAUCUUCACUAAAAACCAAAAGACAGUCUUCAUAAUGUAUGUAGACUCGGCAUUGAUGUGUUACAAUAGACACUCCCUGUAGAUCAGAAAAACUGGACUUAGAAGGCUCAAGUUCGAAAGUGACGUGAAGGAUGUUAUUGGAGAGAAUUGUAACCAGGCAUGUUGAGAGAUUUCAAUUGUUGCCAUUGGACUAAAUCUCAGGAGCUUUACUGAUGGAGGCAUCAUUACAUGAAGAAGCUCAGCAUGGAGUGAUUGCAAGGCUUCGUUUCAGUGCUCUCAUAAAUAUUAGGUUCUUGUAUUUAAAAUUUUAACUUAUCACAGGGAAAUUUAAAAUUGAUUCAUAAAAAAUCGUCUUUUUCAAGAUCUCAAAGGACAUGGAAAUUUGUGAAGUAUGUUUUUACUUUGCCUUUUCCUAAUUCUAUACAUCCUUUCUAGUGUAUUGAUAAAUUAAUAUGCAAGUCAUUUGGGGGUCUCUAUAUUGGCUAUAGAUUUAAUAGAUUAAUUAGGAGAGACUAGAUCUCUUUAAAAAUUGAGUCUUCCUACCCAACAGCAAGUAUCUCCCUCUGUACUCUCCCAGGUGGUGAACAUAUGGACAAGAGGAUCAUAGAAAUCUUCACAGUGGUUUCAUCCACAGCAUCACCCAAUUGCUGUCAUUAUUUACCCCUUUCAGAAGCUUGUCUCAUCUUUGUAUCCCGAAAGGCAUGCCUUGAUAUAUGUAUCCUUGGGAAUAGAAGUGACGUUGCUUUUGACAAGUAAUUUCCUGGAAUGUUGUUAGUAGUUCUCUGUGCUCUGAAUGUAUCUUGUGUUUUUCUUUAUUAUUGUUUUUACCCCAUUGGACUUUUUUUAUCCAUGUUUUACUUUACAAAUGUGAGAUUUGUGUGUGAUAAAUAUGAUUAGUGCAACCCUCUGGACACCUUGCUCGUGGCCCAGUUAAUAACCAGGCUUUCCCAUGACCCCAUGCUUCCCAUGUACUAUUUUUGGUAUCAUUUUUAAGAUACUUUGUUCCUCUUUUGAAUCAUAAGCCCACAGUUUUUAGAUCAAUCCCUUUUAAAAAAAUGUUUUUUUAAAAGAUCCUUUUAAAACUUUUGUAUUGCCUGUAACAGGCUGCCUCCAGUUUCACUUUAUAUUGAACGUACUAGGUCUCAAUAUAGAACAUGAUCUGAAUCUGAAUGUAGUUUUUCUCUUCCCAAUAUACAAAUAUAAUUCCUGGAUGCCAUCACAACACUAGUGUAUAGGUGAACCAUACGCUUUCAUUGACAUUUGAAGCCAUGGUAAAGCAAUCUUGUAGAAAAUGGUUCCACAAUUUUCUUGGCAUCACUGACAUGUUCUUAUUUGUGACUGGAGUAAAAACUCAAGUUAGCAAAGAGAUUUUCAUUUAAUCCAUAUUACUCUGAUUUUCACUCAUAUCUGUUUACUCUGAGUGGGCUUAUUAUAGAUAGCUGUGUUUAUUCGAAGUUUUGUUUACUUCUGGAACAUAAGCUGCCCUGUCAUUAGAGAACUAGUAAUUACAUUGUCCAGAUUCUUACUAUACAGGCUAAAACUGAAUGCAUUGAAAUGGGCCACAGAGAAUGAAUGGGUUAUUAAAGAAUUUAAAGUGAAUUGUCAUUCAUCCUUCAUUUUCCAUUCCUACUUUCUAGGGUGACCAUUUAUGGUAUAGUGGUCAAUAAUUUAUCUAAGCUUAUAAAUUUAUGUGCAAUUUAUUUUACAAAUAUGUAGUUAAUAUGGUUGUAUUUUACAAAUUUAUUUUUUUUUAAUAUUUUUGGACAUAUUUUCAAACCAGUAAUUAUAGCUUAAGUACACACUUUCCAUUGGAUGUAAAGUACAUACCAUAGUACACUUAUGCAUUUCUCUAUUUGAGAAAUAGAGGUUAACUGUUUGUUGUUGUAUAUAAUACUAUGAUAUAUGUUUUAUAUACAUAUAUAACUGAUCUCCUAAUUCUAUGAUAGAUUUAGAUGUGACAUUGUGGAUCAUUAAUUGUGCAUACUUUGAUUUUAGUUGAUAUUUUGAAAUUACUUUUGAAAUGUUUUCUAAGCCAGCAUAUGCAAUGUAGUAUAAUGGCAGUGCUAAUUUUCACAAAAAUCUGUACAUGAUGGAUAUUAUCAAUCCUUUAAACUUUUGGCUAAUCUAAUAGGUGAAAAUAUUAUUUAAAUUAAGUAUAAAUUAUAAACGGGCAAACAUAAAAAGACCAACUAAAAUGGAAAGCGAUAGUCCACAUUUCAUCUAAUUUCAAGAGUUGUGAGACAUAGAAACCGUAAACGUUUUUAAAAUGUAGUGCUUCUUGGAGGUUCAUAAACUUCCUAAGUGUAUCUUAUACCAGUGUUUAAUUUUUGACUAUUUAUUUUUGGAAUAAUUUUAGAGUCAGUGUUGCAAAAAUCAUGUGGGCAACCCCCAUAUAUUCUAUAAUGUGUGUCUACCUCAGUGGUUCACAGUAAAUGGUGAGUGAUGUCACUUAUUGGUGACAUUAAAUUUGAUCACUUGAUUCAAUUGAUAUUUACUAUGUUUCUCCACUUUGUAGUUAAUAUUCUAUGGGGAAAUCAUUUGAAUAUAUGUAAUUUUGCAGUAUAGUUUUAGCAUUCACAAGUUAAGUCUUGUGAAUCCAACUUUUACACUAUGGUUUUAGCAUUCACAAGUAAGUCUUAGCAGAAUCAAUGAUUUUUCAAAAUCUCUUUUACUGGUUAUGUAUAUUAGUUGGCAUUUUGUUUAAAGGGAGUUUGUGUAUCAUGGCUUGUGAGAAAUGCUCAAUGAAAUAUUUUCUAACUUAAAUACCGUGUGAAAGAAUGAGAUGGUGAUUCACAGUUCAGAGCUGAGAAAGGGUUAUUUAAAAGAUUUAAUGAAGUUUAUGUCUAAACUAGAGAGCUGUAUGUGAGAGGCAUAUAUAACUCUUUAAGAGAUAGUUGAUUAAAUACAUGGUAGAGGGAGAAAAGCAUGUUUUUGUAAUAAGUUCCAACUAGGGAAUGUAACCAUGCCAUCAUUACUGGUGAAAUGGGCAACAGUUUUCUUGAACUGACUGUAUAGUAGGUUCAGAUUCACUAUAGACUGAUAUUCCAUAUAGAUGUUCAAUUACCAGUGUUCCUCCCUAUUUUUUUUAAUUUGUUAGGUUUCCAUAAACCUGUUAUAGUGUCUGAGAUUGAUGAUGAAUGACAUAUGUUGCAGAUGCUAUCUAAAGAUGAGUACUCAGUUUUCAGAGUUGUUAUUUAUGUUUAACCUGUCACUGUUCCUCCAACAUUCUGUAGUGAUGUCUAUAGAUGAUAUAGACUGCUGCAUUUAUUAUGUUGGCUAAAAUCUCUAUAUCCCUAAAUUCUGUUCUCGGUUAUCUAUAACCAGGGAACUAUAAGCAGACUACUAAAUGUAAUCUCAAAUUUUAUGCUAGUUAAAUAAGAUAUAGAGAAUGAAGAUAUUCUAAGUUUUGAAAAGUGACACAUGGCCUGGUUAAAUUGAUGAAAUGUUCUUUUCUUUUUUCUUUUUUUUUUUUUUUUGGCCACACCUGUAGCAUGUGGAAGUUCCCAGACCAGGGAUCAAACCUUCACCACAGCAGCAGCCUGAGCCAUUGCAGUAGACAACACUGGAUCUUUAACCUACUGCACUACAAGAGAACUCCUUGAUGAAAUAUUGAAAUCUUGUUAAUCAUCCUGAAUAUGAUGAGUUUCAAAAUAUGGAUCAGCAUUCCCUAGGUGCAGGCCAGGAAUAGAAAUGUCAUACCAGUUUGCAAAUUGUAAAUCAGUGAAGAGUAUUUAUAGAGGCAUGGGCAUGACCUAAGGCUUUGGCUCAAAAUGGUCAUCUGAAUAUUCUCCACCCCCUGUAAUCUAAAUUUCUGCUUAGUCUCUGAUGACAUGCUUAUAGUGGAGGCUCAGUGAAUAUUGGCCAUAGUGUGUGAAGGGGAAAAUGGAAGUGAAGCCAAAAUUUGUGACUAUAAACAAAUGAAUUAUGAACUUAGUGAAUGUGCAGAUAAAUAGGCAAAUGAAUUUCCAGUAAAGAAACUUGUCAUCGAAAGAAGGAAAAAGAAUUGAAGAAGACAGGGGCCAAGGGGAGUUUGUCAUCAUUUUAAUAUAUAUAUAUGGUGCUUUCCCAUGUAAUAUAAUAAGGGUAUUUUGGAAAAUUUGAAAUCUGCCUGGUUAAAACACAUUCUCCUUUCUUCCAUGAGGGCACAUGUAUUAUUGUUUCUUGUUGAUGUUAAAACAGUUUUAUUACCAAAUACAUACAUUCAGCCUGAAUC